rnacentral:rRNA from 1 species
GAUUCUGGCUCAGGAUGAACGCUAGCUACAGGCUUAACACAUGCAAGUCGAGGGGCAGCAUAACGAAAGCUUGCUUUGUUGAUGGCGACCGGCGCACGGGUGAGUAACGCGUAUCCAACCUUCCCUAUAGUAGAGAAUAGCCCGGCGAAAGUCGGAUUAAUGCUCUAUGUUCUUCUUUGAUGGCAUCUGACGAGAAGCAAAGGUUCACCGCUAUAGGAUGGGGAUGCGUCUGAUUAGGUAGUCGGCGGGGUAACGGCCCACCGAGCCAUCGAUCAGUAGGGGUUCUGAGAGGAAGGUCCCCCACAUUGGUACUGAGACACGGACCAAACUCCUACGGGAGGCAGCAGUGAGGAAUAUUGGUCAAUGGGCGAGAGCCUGAACCAGCCAAGUAGCGUGCAGGAUGACUGCCCUAUGGGUUGUAAACUGCUUUUAUAGGGGAAUAAAGUGAGGUACGUGUACCUUUUUGUAUGUACCCUAUGAAUAAGGACCGGCUAAUUCCGUGCCAGCCGCUGC